GGCCUAACACUUGUCCUAAAAACUUAAGCCGAUAGGAUAAGAUAGAUUUAUUUAUAUAUUUUCUAUUUUCUUACAUGUAUCAUCAUCGGGCCUUCUCCCUACUUCUCUCUCGUCUCCGGCAGCCACCGUGCCACCACGAUCGAUAGCUACGGCCCAAGAUCUUCCAUUUCUCUCUUGAAGCCCUCCACUAUCUUGUUUUCCCUGUUCCGAGAUUUGCCACUGCAAAGCUUGUCGGAAACCACUAUCUCCGGCCGAGCUCCAUUGCUGCCACUGCCCUUGGUAACCCCGUUAUCUCCUCCAUGUGAUUACCAGAUGAGUGAACCCGGAUUUGAGCCUCCAUUUUCUUGCUUUUAAGCCAAACCAAGACCUUCUCGAUCGAUCAUGCCACCUCCAUCAAUCGCCGCCAAAGUUGCCGCCUCUGCCACACCCCGGUGAGUCUGUCGCAUCCUCUUGCUUCCUCCUUGGACAAGAGAGCUGUCACCCCGGCAGCUAGGGGCUCUGCCUCUUUUCCUCUUCCUCCUCUAUUUUCUCUUUGCGUGGGGGAACCACCGUGGCACCUCACCGCCGGCUGCGCCACCUUGCCGCAGGCUGUCGCCACCAUCGCCGAGGCCACCUCAGCCACCGGUUCCUCCAGGCUUGGACGUCGGAUCCCCGGCACCCACCCCCUACGUCUUCUCUUCUCUUCUUAUCUUCCCUCUCUUCUUUCCCUCCAUUCUACCUUCUUCUUCCUCUACUAAUUCUUUAUUUUUUUAUUUAUUUAUUUAGCUAUGAAUUAGUUUAUCAAAUCCUCUUUUCUCUCUCUUGACUCAUAGGCCAGAUAUAAUGAUUAAUCUCGAUUGACCCUUGAUGACCAAACCCAAACCCUGAUUGAAUCCAGACUAAAAUUCUCUCUUCUUUCUCUUUUUUUUUUCUCUAGACAGACUCAAUUAAGGAUCCUAGUGCAAGCCUUAUUUUUCUUGUUGCUCAGAUCCAAGUUAACCCAAUGUGGAGGCCUUGAACCGCCCCCAGUAUCCAAGCAGUAGAUUAGCUCAUUACUUCAAACCUUGCUGGAUCUGUUCGAAAUUUGGCCACUAUUGAUCUUCAUUGAGUCACGUAAAUCAUGUCUAAACUUGACCAGUUGAGUUCUUUCUGCUCGAACCACUCUAGGCAGUCGGGCACUGCCACUUGACCAAUCUAACUUAGGGCAUAAGGUCAUAUCCUCAAUAGUAUUUUAAUUUUUAAUUUUGCUUAAUUUCUAAAAUAAUGAUAAAAUUAAUUAUAUUUCAAUUAUAUUAAAGCAGACAAAUCUGACCCGUCUAACUGAAAUAGAAUUUAGAAUUAAGAUGAGAUAAGUAACCUAAUGCUUCAAAAUAUGUUUUUUGAAUUUUGAAACUAAUCCAUUCCAUUGAAUGUUUUGCCUUCUGAAAGUGCAUGAGGAAGCUCUUUCACUUUCAGCCAUAACUCUCCAAAAACCAUCCUACUUCAGUUUUGCUAUCAAUCCAAGGUAUACAGUAUGUCCUACCAUCUAUAUUGAUGUGCAAAUAAGCUCCAUGCUUCAAUAUUUUAAGAUCAAUGAAACCAGAGAGACUACAACAAGCACGAGUCGUACCAAUUCUAGAUGAUGCUCAUGGCACCACGGUGCAAUACUAGGCUGUUGUGAUGUUCCAUUCGUUUCUUUGAACUUAAUGAUCUGGUCAUAAUAUUAGCCUUCAAACCUUGGUAGAAUAAGAUGACAUGAUAUGCUGUUUUGAAUUGAAAGGAACUUCUAGUUUAUAUGUUCUUGAUAAUAGUAAUAAUGAAGGCAGUGGUGGUGGUGGGGAUGUUUUUUUGAAGCAUUAGGAAGCCCACUCAUAAUGAUCUUGAGAUUGUAUGAAGAUUUGAAGUGGUACUGGAUCUCAUGCCUAUCCAACAGCCAUGAAAUUACUGAUGACAAGCAUGACUAUGCCUGUUGCAGUGGACCGUUCGAUGCUCCAACCCGAUGCUGGUCGGUCCAUGGUGAGUUGUUAUCGCAGACCAAUUUGCUAAGAUUUCAUAAUUCAUUUCUUAUGAAUAUAUACUUCUGAUUUAAAUGUUGCUGCUGUGUAUCUUAGUGAAGUAGCAAAUCUGCAUGAACUCCCUAGCUUAAUUUCUUACAGCAAUUCCAUGCUAUACCAGGAGGAAUAUGGGUAGUUGUCUAUACCGCUGUAAAUUAAUAGACAAAGUUGGCAAGCACAUUUGGUGAAUCUCAAAAUAUAGAAAUAAGAGACAUUAUCUUGUCAUGUUUGCAAAUGAUAUCUCCACAAGAAGCUAGAUUAAUUGGUAGGAACUUGCUCUGACAUUGUUAAUUCACCAGUUAUGAUUUAUCGAUGUUCUUCUAUGCUUCAUACCUAUAUCCUUUAAUUGCCCAAGAGACUUGUGGCAGUAAAUAUCAAGUAUAUGAUGCCAAGUACAAGGAAGCUGUCAGUAUUCAAUUGAAGGCAAAUAAGUUUUGGAAGAAGGUGAGUUAUGGUCAGGUUUGAGAAAUAAAGUUAUCCAGCAUGAGCUUUUAUCAAGUUAAAUAGAAGAGAAAAUUUGCAUAUAGUUCUUUCAUAUGGUUAAUUUUAGUAAUUGUUAUAAUUGAUGACUUACUUGAUUUACAGGAAGUUGAUAGCAUUUUAUAUGAGAGUUGCCACUGGAUUGAGCUUCAGAAUAAUGUACUAGAUUCAAAGAGUUCUUCCCAAACUUGAAGAUCAGGACAUAGCGUGCACUAGGAAUAAGGCACCUCAUGCCCUCGCUUGUGUCAAAAGCAAGAGGUUCUUUGGCUGCUGUGGACAAUUCUCCAUAGAAUUUCUUUCUAUAUCACAAGCAACUCCAAAGCUCUGCAUUGGUUAUCUUAUUAUACUCUGAAAGGAGGCUGGUGAAGCUAAUUGUUUUGCAGGAGCUAAUGGUGUACAGCAACUAGUACCAUUUGGAGGCUAAAGCUCCCUUUUUUUAUUGAAAAAAAAAAAGUUUGGAGGCUGAAGUUAAUGUCUAAUAUCAGAUCUCUAUAUGCUUUGAUGUGAAGGACUUCAAAUACCAAACUCUAAUCAUCACUGUAUUGCUCAAGUGGGUUCCUUCAUGCGUUAGCAGGAUUUUAGGACAAAGGAGGGGAAUGUCAUCAGAGUCAUUCUUUCAUAAUAUCCUUUGCAAAAUAAAUUGAACAACUGCUCUUAACAAGUUUCACUUAAUUUUACCCUCUAUGAUCGGUGAAUUUCCUGGAGCUACACAAUCCAACAGCAUGGAGUUUCCUGACAUUAAAUCAACAGCAAGAAAAUGCGCGACACCAUUCUUCAGAUGAGAAUGUAGUAGGAUCAAAACUUGAUGAGUUUUGCAACAACUAUGGAAAGGUUGAGGACAUGGAAAUCUUGGUGGCAACCACAGGAAAUUGAGGCAUGAAAAGCUAUGCGAUCUCCUUUAUUUUUUUAAGCAGUAAGAUGUGAUAGAAAUCAGAACCAUAUGCUCAUAUCCAUUUCUUCACUAGGAUGAAUGGUAAUACAUAACAGAGCUUUGGCUGCUUCCAGCAGCAGGAUAUUAAUGCAUAACUCAUGAGGCAUUCUACCGUAGCCCAAUACUACACCCUUACCAUAGCUCAGUGCUACCAGAUACGAAUAGAGUCAGGAUUUUAACUAGCAAUCUGUCUCUAAAAAAAGCUUCCACCAUGAUGCCAUUUCUUCGCACGGUGGGAGUAAGCGAUAAAAUCUUUAGAGUUACGGUUGUCUGAUUGAACCGGCAGGAGCCCAGAGAUCAGCGCCGUUGCCUCGGGCAAUUCUGAGCGCAGAGGAGGUCGGCAUGAGACAGAGGCCAUGACUUCUUAGGCUGCAGUGCUCAGCUUCCUAAAUCACAUGGAAUGGGGGGUAGAAAUUAGCGAAAAUAGUCAUGUUUUCGGCAGAAAUUAUUGAAGCUAUAUCCCUGCCUUCUCUUUUAAUAUAUGUAUCUUUUUAUUUCCAUCCAAUUGAUAUUAUGAUGCUCUGUCUUUAUUUUGGUUUUUUUAAUUUGAAAUAUGGAAUUGAAGGUGGUCUUCAUGAACCUGCCACAAUCUCUUCUAAUUGCUCAAGCUUCCCUCGAGAAGAAAGAGAAGGAAAAAGAGUGCUCAACUUCAGCAUGAGCAGGGGAAUAUGAUCAAAGUGGUCUUACCUCAAUCUUUCCGGUCGGCGACGUCCUCCGCAGAUACGGAGCACUCAGCACCUGAUGACACCAAUUCACAUAUUGAGAAACGGAAGCGAAGAUUACUAGAGAAACUCCUAACAAUCCUUGUUCCAAGGAGGAAGCAAGACGAGAAGAGAAAUCAUGGGGGAAAUGGAAGUGGAUCAUGGAAUGAACCUGGAGUUGAUCGUGGAGGAAUUUGAUAUAUCCACUGGCCUCUUGAAGAACCGACGCUGUGUCCGACUGCACUCAAACAAGAGGAUACUCGACUUCUUAGAUCAUUGGAUAAGAAUCAGUGGAUAAAGACCAAAGGAAAGGAAAGAAAAGAAGUACUUCAAGUAGUCUCAGUACUAGUGGCAAUCCAUCACUUACCUUGCCAAAAGGAGACACCAGUUGUUGCAGCUUGGCUACACGCUCUCCAAUCUUGUCCUUCUUCUCCUGCUCAUUAGUCUUAAACCCCAUCAGAAUUCUUUCAAUUCUUCAGCUGUGGGUAUAUCAUCUAUGACCAUAUAAAGAAAGAUGGAAGAAAUAUGGUGGAAGACUAACUUUGGUGGAGAUCAUGCCUCCUCCCCCAACACCACCACUAGUUUUAAGCCUCUUGGCGGUCAGUCCACUGCAAGCGGUAGUGGUGGUGGUGGUGGUGGCGGUGGUAAUGCUGUUGCUGUGACUGUGACCUCCGCCGGCACCGGCGAUGUUGCUGAGGAGGAAGCUAUCAUGGCUUCUUCUCUUCUGAACAGCAACCUCUGUCAUCAUCAUCAUCAUCAGCUACUUUCUUUCUCACUACUGUCAACAGGUUGAUGCCAAAAUAACAUUGCA